AGAAACACAGUUUAUAUCCUUGAAUAGGUAGGAAAACAAUGAACACGAUAAGUAAAAGAAUCAUUGCAACCUUGUUGGGGAUAUUCAGAAACAGAAAAUAACACCUGCUUUCUCAUUUCCAGAGCUAUCAGCUUCCCAGUUUGCACAAUUCAUCAAGAAAUUAUGCGGGGUCACUGGCACAAAUGAUGAGGCAUCUCCUGGAAGCUUAACUUCUUAUCCAUCCCAUCUCUUGGACAGAUGAUGCCAGUUAAUUACUUUGAAUGCUCCUCCACCAAGCCAAGGCCAGACUCCUGCAAUCAUAGGAUGGCAACACCACCUCUAAAGCACAGAACUUCAGCCUUUGCUUCGGAAGUGGCACCAUGGUCUCUUCAUUUUCCCUUUCUUCAAGGUCAGAAAACUGAAGCUGUUAGGAGUUUUAGUGUUAAGUUCCUUCCGAGGAUGUUAAUUAGGCUUCAAACUGUUUUGUUCUGAGAAAUAAAAACUAAACUCCAGUCAUUCAAGCUAA
rnacentral:lncRNA from 1 species